rnacentral:tRNA from 1 species
UCUAAGGAUGAAUGAAAGUAAAAUUUCAUUCUAAAUAAUAUACAUCGGUAAUGUUGACCGUCCUCAUUUCUCUUCUUAAAGUAAUGUUUCCUUCUUGUAGGGCCGGUAGCUCAGUUGGUUAGAGCACACCCUUGAUAAGGGUGGGGUCGAAAGUUCGAGUCUUUCUCGGCCCACCACACACUUAGCUGGGGGAUUAGCUCAGCUGGGAGAGCGCCUGAUUU